rnacentral:rRNA from 1 species
CCUACGGGAGGCUGCAGUGGGGAAUAUUGGACAAUGGGCGAAAGCCUGAUCCAGCCAUGCCGCGUGUGUGAAGAAGGCCUUCGGGUUGUAAAGCACUUUCAGUGGGGAAGAAAGCCUUGGGGCUAAUACCCUCGAGGAAGGACAUCACCCACAGAAGAAGCACCGGCUAACUCCGUGCCAGCAGCCGCGGUAAUACGGAGGGUGCGAGCGUUAAUCGGAAUUACUGGGCGUAAAGCGCGCGUAGGCGGUCUGAUAAGCCGGUUGGGAAAGCCCCGGGCUCAACCUGGGAACGGCAUCCGGAACUGUCAGGCUAGAGUGCAGGAGAGGAAGGUAGAAUUCCCGGUGUAGCGGUGAAAUGCGUAGAGAUCGGGAGGAAUACCAGUGGCGAAGGCGGCCUUCUGGACUGACACUGACGCUGAGGUGCGAAAGCGUGGGUAGCAAACAGGAUUAGAUACCCUUGUAGUC